GCCCUUAUAGCACAGUGGUAGUGCGUCGCACUUGUAUCAAAUUCGUACAUUGCAUACUUAAUUUGACAUGCGAAGGUCGGUUGUUCAAUCCAGCCUGGGGGCA